rnacentral:tRNA from 1 species
AAGGCCUUAGCUUAAUUAAAGUAUUUGUUUUGCAUGCAGAAGAUGUGAGGUAAAAUCUCGCAGGUCUUA